UGGGGAAUAUUGCACAAUGGAGGGAACUCUGAUGCAGCGACGCCGCGUGAACGAAGAAGGCUUUCGAGUCGUAAAGUUCUUUUAUAUGGGAAGAUAAUGACGGUACCAUAAGAAAAAGCCCCGGCUAACUACGUGCCAGCAGCCGCGGUAAUACGUAGGGGGCUAGCGUUGUCCGGAAUCACUGGGCGUAAAGGGUUCGCAGGCGGAAAUGCAAGUCAGGUGUAAAAGGCAGUAGCUUAACUACUGUAAGCAUUUGAAACUGCAUAUCUUGAGAAGAGUAGAGGUAAGUGGAAUUUUUGGUGUAGCGGUGAAAUGCGUAGAUAUUAAAAAGAAUACCGGUGGCGAAGGCGACUUACAGGGCUCAUUCUGACGCUGAGGAACGAAAGCGUGGGUAGCAAACAGG
rnacentral:rRNA from 1 species